UCAAUGAGUCGGGUUGUUUGGGAAUGCAGCCCAAAUCGGGCGGUAGACUCCGUCCAAGGCUAAAUACAGGCGAGAGACCGAUAGCGAACAAGUACCGCGAGGGAAAGAUGAAAAGGACUUUGAAAAGAGAGUCAAAGAGUGGCGGCCAAAGGCCGGGGGCCCUAGGUGCCCCCGGUGGCCGUCGUCGGCACGGCCGGUACCCGCGCGCCGAAAGGCGUGUCCCUCGGGGAACUGCGCUGCAACGGCCUGCGGGCUCCCCAU
rnacentral:rRNA from 1 species